rnacentral:tRNA from 1 species
AUUUAAAUAGCUUAAUCAUAAAGUUUAAUAAUGAAAAUAUUAAGAUGAUUUUUAAAUCUUUAAAUA